UUGAAGGAGAUCCUACUAAAUAGACCCAGGUCCCAAGCAGGACCUAACGCUGAACAAGGGCAAGACCCUUACCAAACCGUUCCCUUAACCCCCGACCAGGUAGCCAACAUACCUCCAUAUAGACCGUGGAGAUAUGAAUGGUGAAAAUCUUUUAUUUUAUAUAGACAGUAAAAUAACGCCAAGACACCACGGACAAACGAUAAGGAAAGAUCACCUUCAACAUAAGUAACUAGUUAUUAAAGUCAUUAAUACAAAACCAAAUAAAAAGUGCAAAAGAUUAAAAAUAAAAAGUAUUAUACUAAACACUUGUCUUCACCAAGUGAUGUAAGAGACUUAGGCAAACAUGGCCUUGAUUGUCAAGAACUCUUACGAUCAAUCUUGGAUCCCGAGACGACUCACACACUCUAUGAUGGACAAUGGAUGAUGGUGGUGGAUGAUGGUGUUAUGGUGGUGGCUGAACAGAAGGCUGGGCACGGCCCCGUGUCUGCUGGACACGCCCCCGUGCCCGUCUGACACUCUCUCUCUUCAUUAAUUGUAAUUCACAAUUACAAUUAAUGCGCCUGCUGUACUUUCACCACGCCCCCGUGCCCGCUGGACACGGCCCCGUGGUGGGCAAUAGAAGCUUCUACUAGUUUGUCUUUUCUGCUGCUUCUUGGGCACGGCCCCGUGUUCGCUGGACACGGGGCGUGUUCAGUCUUCUGUUUUCUCUUCUUUGCCUUGGGGGGUGCCGUUGAGGGUCCGGGCAGUCUACUUUUAUUCCUUUUCUUGUAUUUAUGCUAGAAUUAGUUGUCUUUUUGCUUCUUUUGUGAUUUUGAGCUCAUUUCAUCCUGAAAAUACAAAAGAAAGACAAAAACACUCUUUUUCCAACAUUAGUACUUAAAAAGGGUUAGUUUUAUGUCUUAAUUGAUGUGAUUUAUAUGUUGCAUUUUACACACAUCAAAUACCCCCACACUUGAACUUUUGCUUGUCCUCAAGCAAAACUUUUUAAAUGUGGCUUACACUCCCAAAUGGAAUAGGUAGAAGAGAAAGUUUUUAGCUUGUCCUAGAGUGUCGGGAAUCCAAGGUCUUUGUAAGUUUUAUUUUUAUUUAUUUACAAUCCUAUUCGUUAUGAUUUAUUUUGAACGUUUCAUAAGAUAAAUUACUUAUUCGGGCAUAGCAUGCCUUAUUAAAAUUCCAUUUAUAUACAAGUUCACAUACCUCGCGGGGGAUCACUCAACACUCGGCCGAAGGUGUAGAUUUUUUUAGUGAAUCACUCGUGAGCGGCAUGGAACUUACGUCUUCCAUAGUCUUGCCAAGCAAUCAAUCCUCCUCCUUAUUAACUUUUUACCUUUGUAAAUAUCAAGAGGACUUUUGGGGUGAAGGGUUAGGCUUGGGUUAAAGGUGGUCGGUUGGGUUAGUUAGAAAAAAAGGGUGAAAAUCGUAAAAAGCGUCGGUUUCCGUGACAUACCUUGUUUUUGGUGACUUUUUAUUUUGAAGUAUUUCUCCAAACAAGCUUUUAUAUAGCUUUUGUUUGUUUUUGACUUCAUCAUUGUUUUUUUUUUCAUCACAUAAAAAGGCGAGUUUACGAAAAACCGAGCUUGUUACUAAAAUAAAGGGUGAAAAAUAAAAAGGGUUUUUUGGUGGGUAAAAAGAGUUUUGGGGUAAUGAAAUGAAAGGUUUAGGCUCAAAGGGGCUAUCUAGGGGGAUUUUGGGUAGGUGGUAAAAAAAAUGAAAAAUAAUGGUUUAGAAAAAAAAAUAUGGUUAGUCCUAAUGCCUCCAUCACUUACUUACUUGGGUUUAAGUUGGUAAGGACCGGGAAUGUAUCGUCGUGGCAAGUUCUAGAGUUGUAAGAACCAAGCGGCUAUUCACACAAGAAACGAAAAAUGAGCAUUUAGUUUAAAUAUGUAUAUUUUUAUGCUCAAUAAAGGCUCAAAACUCACUUUUGUGGGAAUGGGUUUUUAAUGUGAUCAAGUAUAUAUAAUCGAAUUUUUAACUAGACUUGUUAUGCCGUUUCGUAAUUUUCUUAUGUUGGUUCUUUGUUAUCACGACGCUAUCGGUUGUAAAUUUUGUAAAAAUAUAACCUUUUUUAGAACUUGUUAUUCCCAAAUUAAACUAAGACAAGUAAAUGA
rnacentral:lncRNA from 1 species